AAAGAACACAAACCCUAGGUGGGAAAAUUGAAGAAAAAGUGUGGGAUUCCAAGGGAUUAAGCUAAUAAAGGUAAAAUUUUAUGAUUUUAUCUUGUGAUUUAAACUACCCAUGCUUUCUUUUUCAUUUUCGAUGCUUAGAACUCAAGUUUGCAUGAUGAGCCCAUGCUGGUCGAAUUUGAAAGCAGAGGUUUUGAACAUUGAUUUUGCUAGAUUUGAAGCUAAUUAAGUGUUUUUGGUUGUUUGGUAAUGGAAAGUAUGAAAAUCUAGCAAGGAAUCCUUUUGUUCUUCACAAAACCACGAGAAGUUGAAUUUUCUAGAGAGGAUAUUGAGGCUGAAAUUGAGGAUAUUUCAUGAUAUUUUGGUGGUAUUUAAUGAUUUGUGAGGCUAGAAAUUUAAUGGAAAAUUUAAUGAUAUUUCAUUAUCUAAAGUGGUUUUUAUUCGAUUUUGUGAAUUUUAUGGAAAAUUAAUUAAAUGAUUAAUUUUUUGAUUUUAUAAACAAAAUGUGAUUUAAUGAAAUGAUUUCAUAAAAUUGUUUUAAAAUUGAAUAAUGGUUUGAAAAUAGAGUAAUUGGAGACCAUUUGAUGUAUUGUGAAUUUAUGGUUCUAAUUGAUUGUGUUAUGACAAUAUUGGCAUGAAUGGCUGAAUUGGCAUUUGUGUUGAAAUGUAUAAACUAUUGUUUGCCUUAAUAGGCUGGAAAAUGAUAAAAUUGCCAUAUCAUGUUAUUGAAUUUUAUUGAUUGGUGAGAUGAUUAUUAGCUUACUACAGUGGGCGGGUUUCGUGGACCAGCCUAUUAGAAGGGCACGAUAACCCCGUUAUAUUCUUACCUCAGUAUGAGAGGCGUGGGUGGAUAACUCCUAAGGCUAACACUUUUAGAGUUCACUUCAUGUCGAACCACCACGUGAGGGGGAACUCAUCCAAUUGCAAGGAACGGCUAUGUUUUCAAAAUAAAAACAUGAUUUAUG
rnacentral:lncRNA from 1 species